AAAAAUGGUAUGGUUGAAAAUGGCAUCAAUCUGAACAGCCCCUUACUAUUUUUGUUGUUAUGAGAUGAUAAAACAUAAAUAGUACUUUACUCGUAACUUAUGUUUUUAAAUUUGUUCAAAAAUUUUUCAAAUAAGACGGACGAUCAAAGUUGGACGCGAAAAACCAUGACUGCACUUAAA
rnacentral:pre_miRNA from 1 species